rnacentral:sRNA from 1 species
CAUCGGCAAUUAACGCCGAGUUCGGUUGAAGGCCCGUCCCCCGCCUAUACCGGACACUGCGGCAGCCUCAUCCCCCCUCUCCGGGCUGCCGCAUCGUUUCGAGUAAGGCCGCCACGGAACCCCCCUCCACCGUGGCGGCCAUUU